GGGAGCGAGGGAAGAAAGAGAAUGCUGUGCAAAGCUGCUAAUGAACACCUCCACACAGAUGGUGUAAAGCCAAGCGGCGUAGCGCAGCCCUGCAGCCAGCAGUGAUGUAGCGUGUGCUCAGCUGGCUGUGCUGCAGGAGUGCUGCAUGCAGCCCUGCAGUGUUGGCACAGGCACCCUGCGUGCUGCCACCGUGCUCUUUUCUCAGCUGGUUUUGAUGGGUUCACGUGAGUCAGUAGAACAACGUUCUUAAACCACAUCCAGGAACAAUCACAGAAUAUCUUAUUUUGGAAAGGGCCCACAGGGAUCAUCGAGUCCCACUCCUGGUUCAGAGAACACUGAAGUGUCUAAGGCACGAUUUUCCUCCUUUUGCUACCUGGUUCUUCACAGCUUUAGUAGAGGAGAGCAGAAGAGCAACACACCUGAGCAACACUUUGAGCUGAAGUGCCUACACAGACUGCAGAAGGCA
ensembl:lncRNA